UUUUGUUUGGAGACCCCCUAUCUACAUACAAGUUUCCCGUUUCUAUUUUUUUGGGUAUUUUUAGGGUCUGAAACUUUUUAUCCAAACUGACCCAAACCCAACUGGAUCCGACCCGAACGAGAACCGAAUAUUUAGAAUUAUUCUAUUAGGUAGUAAAUCAUAUACCCAUUAAUCCCAAAUCCGAACGGGUUCUACCCGAACUCGAAUGGGUUACUCAUAUGUCCAACCCUAUUCUCUGAUUUAAUUAUCUAAAAACUCCAAAAAAACAUAUGUUUUGCUGACUACUUUUUAUUCAAAAAAAUUUACAUCCUCUUCUGCCAAAAUCAUUUCAUAAGACAUCCCAAAACCCUUGGAAUAAUGAUUUCAUGAAUGAAGAAUCAUAAUUUGAAUAUACCAAGAGGUUUUGAAAGGUUUUAAGUUUUUGAUAGGUGUGUAUGUGAGAAGGUCCAGACAUCGUGAUGUUAAUCUGCUUAUUUAUAAUUUUAACUUGCAGUAUAGCGCAUGUAGACUUAUAUUUUAGUUAAACUAAAAACUUUUAUUGUAAAGAUGAUUAUAAAUAUAUGACAUUAUUUUAUUUGAUUUUAAAUGUAUAGUAAACUGCGAGUUGUAUAUGUUUUGUUGAUAUUAUUUAUAUUGUUUAGUAUUUAAAAUUAUACACUUGUAUUUUGAUUGUUAAUUUUAAAGUUUCACCUGUAGUAUACCAUCUUGUAUUAAAAUCGAUUUAAACCCGUCAAUUCUACGAUUUUCCAGCUUGUAUUAAAAAUUGAAUCACAUCAUACACAUAAGAAAAU
rnacentral:sRNA from 1 species